UACAGGAGGGUGCGAGCGUUAAUCGGAAUUACUGGGCGUAAAGGGCGCGUAGGCGGCCGGCUAAGUCGAACGUGAAAUCCCCGGGCUCAACCCGGGAACUGCGUCCGAUACUGGCAGGCUUGAAUCCGGGAGAGGGAUGCGGAAUUCCAGGUGUAGCGGUGAAAUGCGUAGAUAUCUGGAGGAACACCGGUGGCGAAGGCGGCAUCCUGGACCGGUAUUGACGCUGAGGCGCGAAAGCCAGGGGAGCAAACGGG
rnacentral:rRNA from 1 species